rnacentral:lncRNA from 1 species
GAAAGAAAAAUAUAUAUAUAUAUAUAUAUAUAUAUAUAUAUAUAUAUAUAUAUUUACAUGCCUAUACAUUCAUUGAAUUUUUGUAAAAAGAUCACAAAGAGUGGGGAAGAAUCACAAAAAGCUGGUGACAGUGUCCACUUGUGACUUUGUCUGAGGUACUGGAGGAGAGAAUCACGGAGAGACAUGCACUGUGUAUACUUUUGUGUCUCCAUAGUGUGCCUGCUUAUAAACAUCAAUUGUAGGAGUGGUAACUGACAUGGGAAGAUGGCUGUCAUACACUGUUGCUUGAGAAGCAACAAUGUAUCCAGAUGUAUGGACAGCAGGGUCUCAAAUAAAUGAUGCAUACAAAAAUGUAAUAGUUUAUUUGUGUUUUUCUGCUUGUCUGUGUUUUUUAAUCUUUUCAUAAUGUACGUGUCACCUGUAAGAACGUUUUUAAAAUUACAAAGGUAAGAGAAACUUUAAAAAAGGGAAUCUUUCAGCCCUGCUGCAUGGUCUCCCUCGGCUGCGCCCAGUGAACUGGCAAAUGCCUCCUUUACUGUCUUGUGUGUGCCGUUCUUCCUCCACACGAACCGUGCUCAGCUUCACUACCAUGUGCACACCCAGGGCACGUGUGCUGUGUACUCCUGCCAUUUUGGAUCACACCCUUCAUCUAGGCAUUUCCCUCUAUGCCACGAACAGUGCAUUUUAUGCAAGUACCGAAUUGGCACUUAAGGCAGGGACCACAACGGGCAAAUGUCUGUGAUGCAGCCAAGUUCAAUACCAAACCCCAGAGUUAACACUGAUUGGUUAGCAAUGCCUGUGGUUUUUAAGGUGCAGUAAAAAACACAUGUACUGAAUAUUUCCCUUCUAAAAUGAUCCCAGGGGCCUCCAGGGAUCUCUGAUUCUGUAUCUUAAGUUGACCACAUGGUAGAGUCACAGGAUCUCAUGCAGUAAGCAACGACCACGUUAAAAAAUGUAGAAAUAGUCCAGCUGCCGAUGACAUGGUCUGCACUCUGAUACUGUGAAUAUAUUCCAAUCUUCUGGAUAGAACCAAGUUCCAUUUCUUUUUGUUCUUCUCUAUAUACUCUUUCUGUUCUCCACUUUCAAGCUUUUUUUUUUUUGUACAUUUGAAUGUGGUUUUCUCUUAGAAUGUUAGGAGUCUCUUAUAAAUGAGUGAGGACACAAAGGAAUGGGUAGCUGGCAACUUUAUUCUCGAGAGUAGACUUGGUGGGGUCUCUCAGUUCCCA